CCUACGGGAGGCAGCAGUGGGGAAUUUUCCGCAAUGGGCGAAAGCCUGACGGAGCGACGCUGCGUGAAGGAUGACGGCCUGCGGGUUGUAAACUUCUUUUCUCGAAGAAGAAUCAAUGACGGUAUUCGAGGAAUAAGCAUCGGCUAACUCUGUGCCAGCAGCCGCGGUAAGACAGAGGAUGCAAGUGUUAUUCGGAUUGAUUGGGCGUAAAGCGUCUGUAGGCGGUUUAGAAAGUCUCUUGUGAAAUUCUUCAGCUCAACUGAGGGUCCGCAAAAGAAACUUCUAAGCUUGAGGGAAGUAGAGGUAUAGGGAAUUUCCGGUGGAGCGGUGAAAUGCGUAGAUAUCGGAAGGAACACCAAUAUGGCGAAGGCACUGUACUGGGCUUUUCCUGACGCUAAGAGACGAAAGCUAAAGGAGUGAUUAGGAUUAGAUACCCUAGUAAUUUUAGCCGUAAACGAUGGAAACUCACUGCCGAGCCGGUAUUCGGAGCGGUGGUCAAGCUAACGCGUGAAGUUUCCCGCCUGGGGAUUACGCAUGCAAAUGUGAAACUCAAAGGAAUUGACGGGGACCCGCACAAGCGGUGGAGUAUGUGGUUUAAUUCGAUGCAACGCGAAAAACCUUACCAAGGUUUGAAAUCAUUUCAAAACUCUUUGAAAGAAGAGCCUCCUUCGGGAUGAAAUGACAGGUGGUGCAUGGCUGUCGUCAGCUCGUGUUGUGAAAUGUCAAGUUAAGUCUUGUAACGAGCGCAACCCAUGUCUCUUGUUGCUCACUGAGUGCUUAAGAGAGACUGCCGACCAACAUCGGAGGAAGGUGUGGAUGAUGUCAAGUCAGCAUGCCCCUUACAUCCUGGGCUACACACGUACUACAAUGGUCGAGACAAAGGGUCGCUAACCUGCAAAG
rnacentral:rRNA from 1 species